GAUGAACGCUGGCGGCGUGCCUCAUACAUGCAAGUCGAGCGAACAGACGAGGAGCUUGCUCCUCUGACGUUAGCGGCGGACGGGUGAGUAACACGUGGAUAACCUACCUAUCAGACUGGGAUAACUUCGGGAAACCGGAGCUAAUACCGGAUAAUAUAUUGAACCGCAUGGUUCAAUAGUGAAAGACGGUUUUGCUGUCACUUAUAGAUGGAUCCGCGCCGCAUUAGCUAGUUGGUAAGGUAACGGCUUACCAAGGCAACGAUGCGUAGCCGACCUGAGAGGGUGAUCGGCCACACUGGAACUGAGACACGGUCCAGACUCCUACGGGAGGCAGCAGUAGGGAAUCUUCCGCAAUGGGCGAAAGCUUGACGGAGCAACGCCGCGUGAGUGAUGAAGGUCUUCGGAUCGUAAAACUCUGUUAUUAGGGAAGAACAAAUGUGUAAGUAACUAUGCACGUCUUGACGGUACCUAAUCAGAAAGCCACGGCUAACUACGUG
rnacentral:rRNA from 1 species